UACGUAGGGUGCAAGCGUUGUCCGGAAUUAUUGGGCGUAAAGAGCUCGUAGGCGGUUUGUCGCGUCUGCUGGUGAAAACCUCGGGGCUUAACUCCGGGCCUGCAGGUGGGUACGGGCAGACUAGAGUGGCGGGUAGGGGAGACUGGAAUUCCUGGUGUAGACGGUGAAAUGCGCAGAUAUCAGGAGGAACACCGGUGGCGAAGGCGGGUCUCUGGGCCGUAACUGACGCUGAGGAGCGAAAGCGUGGGGAGCGAACAGG
rnacentral:rRNA from 1 species